GGUAUCUGAUCCGAGAACUGUGUGGCCUGAAUGUGUUUACAAUCCGAGGGACUUGUGUGUAUCCGAUCCGAGGGACUUGUUGCUUGAGUGUGUAUCUGGACUUGUUGCUCGAGUGUGUAUUAAUGGAUAGUGCUUUCAAUGGUUUAACUAAUUUCUUAUGAGAUUAAUUUGUCGCCUGAGUGUGUAUCCGAUCCGAGCCUCAAGUUAAUGAAUAAAUCUACAGAGCUGAUGUUUUACUUAGCUGUCUCUGUCUACAGUAUAUGCAGAGAGUAAAUACCAGGCCCACUAUUCAAGGGGCUGGAGUCGAGGCUAACAAAUGGCUUGCUGCUUCCUCUUCGAAAAUAUUCUAUGGCUACCAAGAUAGUCCAGAGGGUCUAUCAAUGGAUACUACUCAGUCCUACAUGCUGUAUAGCUUGUUUUAAACCUUUUUUUGUGUGUGUCCUAAUUGAACAGCUCAGCAGAACUUCAAAGGAUAAUCGGUUCAUCCAAUCUGCCACAGAAUCCAAUAUCAUGCAACAUUCACAAGUUGAUAACACGCUCCCUCCCAGAUUGUUGUGUGCUCAGACGGUGUUCCAAAGGAACGGCGGCUGAUUCUUGAAACUAGCACAAGCUGUGCAACUGACAGUGUGCGGUUUCACAAGAGCAU